UGUUUGGUGACUGAGUAAAAAGUGAUAGACUGUAGUUCUAUUAACGGAGUUAAGUCUCCCCAACUGU
rnacentral:tRNA from 1 species